AGAACCCUUGUGGCCAAAUCGAAGCAAAAAGAACGACAUGUGAGCCAAAAACCACAUACAAAGUCUAGCAAAGCUAUCGUGCCAAAAUCCCAAAAUCUCUCCGAUGAUCCUUUUCCCAAUUUCUGUUUCACAUAAUUUUUUGAUCAUUAUGAUCACUGUCCUUUUCUGUGCAGGUUAGCCGAAGAAAGAACAUCAGCUGCGAAGGAGGACCGGCAGAGCUACCGCACCAUGAGGUUCCCCCGUCGGUAGGUUCGAUUUUUUAUUAUUU
rnacentral:lncRNA from 1 species